GCGGUAUCCUGACCGUGCUAAGGUAGCAUAAUCAUUUGCCUUCUAAUUAAAGGAUAGUAUGAAAGGACAAACGAAAUUUUAACUGUAUUAUAUUUACUCCUAUAAAUUACAAUUCAGGUGAAGAUGCCUGAUUCCAAUUGAAAGACAAGAAGACCCUAUAGAAUUUUAGUAAAGACUUAUCCCUUUUAUCCCCCUUACUUUUGUUGGGGCGACCAAAGAUUACAAAAAACAUCUUUAUAAAUUUAAAAUUUUCAUUUCUUCUUAUGAUCCUAAUAAUAGAUUAACAAAAUAAAUUACCUUAGGGAUAACAGGCUAAUCUUCCCUCAGAGUUCAUAUCGACGGGAAGGUUUGGCACCUCGAUGUUGGCUUAGGAA
rnacentral:rRNA from 1 species